UACGGAGGGGGUUAGCGUUGUUCGGAAUUACUGGGCGUAAAGCGCACGUAGGCGGCUUUGCAAGUCAGAGGUGAAAGCCCGGGGCUCAACCCCGGAAUUGCCUUUGAGACUGCAUCGCUAGAAUUGUGGAGAGGUAAGUGGAAUUCCGAGUGUAGAGGUGAAAUUCGUAGAUAUUCGGAAGAACACCAGUGGCGAAGGCGACUUACUGGACACAUAUUGACGCUGAGGUGCGAAAGCGUGGGGAGCAAACAGG
rnacentral:rRNA from 1 species